GACGAACGCUGGCGGCGUGCUUAACACAUGCAAGUCGAACGGAAAGGCCCUGCUUUUGUGGGGUGCUCGAGUGGCGAACGGGUGAGUAACACGUGAGUAACCUGCCCUUGACUUUGGGAUAACUUCAGGAAACUGGGGCUAAUACCGGAUAUGAGCUCCUGCUGCAUGGUGGGGGUUGGAAAGUUUCGGCGGGUGGGGAUGGACUCGCGGCUUAUCAGCUUGUUGGUGGGGUAGUGGCUUAGCAAGGCAUUGACGGGUAGCCGGCCUGAGAGGGUGACCGGCCACAUUGGGACUGAGAUACGGCCCAGACUCCUACGGGAGGCAGCAGUGGGGAAUAUUGCACAAUGGGCGGAAGCCUGAUGCAGCAACGCCGCGUGCGGGAUGACGGCCUUCGGGUUGUAAACCGCUUUCGCCUGUGGCGAAGCGUGAGUGACGGUAAUGGGUAAAUAAGCACCGGCUAACUACGUG
rnacentral:rRNA from 1 species